GAACCAGGCUCUGGAACAGCUACAGGUUGUGAAAGAAAGGGGGUAGGAAUGGACCGUUGGUGUGCUGCCUAGUCGUCUGACUCCAACCAAGACGUGGACAUGUAGGUACACCUACCUAUAAGGGUCUGAAAGGGAAGCCAGAGGAGCAUCUCUGGUUAGAGAGGCAAAGGCUUUGCUAAAGAUGUCCUCCAAGAGCUACAGACCUGUUUAUAGUAGGAAUCUUUUGACACCUCCACAGUAUGGGCGGGCUCCAAGACAUUUUACAGGAGGUAUCAGGGGGAAGAAGAAACUCGUCUGGAUCUAGUGUCAGCGUAAGUCAAGGAAUACAGAAGAAUGCUUCUAAGGGGAUUCUAGGUACAUCUUCAAAGACAUUGAAAUUCUAAUGGAAUUUUGACUAAAACUGGAGGGUACAGUAAUAAGAGACUACCUCUGAGAAUAAUAAAAGAUUUAUCACCGAUAAACCUUUUUAUUUAUAGGGGUCACAUUUAAAGAUAACCUUUAGCUUCCAAUCUCAGCGACAAUGGUCGAUUCCGCGUAGGACAACGCUAAGAAAGCGAGUAGCAGGACAAGGACACAGGUGACACUGCCGUGUCUCUUGUGACGCGUAGAUCGUAGACACAACGCAUUGGCGUAACAAGAAUGAUACGAGGAGGGUGAACACAACCCCUGAGAUCAAGAACCCAACAUAGAAGCGUAAUUGAUCCCAAACCCCCUGAGCCCGACAUAUUCUUGAAUUCAUUGGAAUAGAAUUAGUAAGAGAAAGGGGGUAGAGUUCUCUGAUUCUAACCCUAUGAACUAGAGGAUAAGGGUCCCUGGUGGGAAAGCAGUGCAUGGAGUUUUCUAGAAAGGGUCUCCGGCAGUGGCCAUCUAAAAAGCACGAACGGGGGUUACGUUACGUUUGGCAUCUAGUCUCGAAUGGUUGUCGUGAACGCGUCGCUCCAUAAAUGUUUGUUGUUAUUUUAUG